GACGAACGCUGGCGGCGUGCUUAACACAUGCAAGUGGAGCGACGAACCGGGGCUUGCCCCGGGGCAGAGCCGCGAACGGGUGAGUAACACGUGGGUAACCUGCCUCAAUGAUUGGGACAACCCGGGGAAACUCGGGCUAAUACCAAAUGUGUUCACUCCUUCUAAGGGGAGUGAGGAAAGGAAGCUUCGGCCUCCGCAUUGAGAUGGGCCCGCGGCCCAUUAGCUUGUUGGUGAGGUAACGGCUCACCAAGGCUUCGAUGGGUAGCUGGUCUGAGAGGACGAUCAGCCACACUGGGACUGAGACACGGCCCAGACUCCUACGGGAGGCAGCAGUGGGGAAUCUUGCACAAUGCGCGAAAGCGUGAUGCAGCAACGCCGCGUGGGGGAAGACGGCC
rnacentral:rRNA from 1 species